AAGGGGUGACCUGGAGCGAAUCUCAGAAAUAACGUCUCAGUUCGGAUUGUAGUCUGCAACUCGACUACAUGAAGCUGGAAUCGCUAGUAAUCGCGGAUCAGAAUGCCGCGGUGAAUACGUUCCCGGGUCUUGUACACACCGCCCGUCACACCAUGGGAGUCGGGAAUGCCCGAAGCCAGUGACCCAAGCGAGAGCAGGGAGCUGUCGAAGGCAGGCCGGAUAACUGGGGUGAAGUCGUAACAAGGUACC
rnacentral:rRNA from 1 species